rnacentral:rRNA from 1 species
GAUACCCUAUUAGAAUUAGUUGAUAUUUAGUAGUAAGUGAAUACCAUGAAACUAAAAUUAAUUGGCGGCUUCUUAAAUAUUUUAGAGGAAUUUAUCCUUUAAAGGAUUAAACACCAAAAUCUUACUUUUACUUGUAUAAUCAAUUUGUAUACCCCUAUUUUCGUAUAUUAUAAGAUAUGCUAAAUAUUUGAUAAGAUUAAAUUUUAGGCAACGGUGCAGUUAAUGUAAAAGAAUGAGAUAAAUUAUAUUAAUUUAUAUUUAACAAGAUUAAAUUUUGUAAUAAUUUAAUUUAGGAAAAUUUAAAAGUAAGAGUAGUUUAUAAUUACUACUUUGAAUAAAGAUUUAGUAUGUGUACAUAUCGCCCGUCGCUCUCCUUUGGAGAUAAGCC